CGGCUCAGUAACACGUGGAUAACCUACCCUCAGAUCUGGGAUAACUCCGGGAAACUGGAGAUAAUACCGGAUAAUCCGUGAACGCUGGAAUGCCUUACGGUUGAAAGCUUUAGCGUCUGAGGAUGGGUCUGCGGCCGAUUAGGUAGUUGCUGGGGUAACGUCCCAACAAGCCGAUAAUCGGUACGGGUUGUGAGAGCAAGAGCCCGGAGAUGGAUUCUGAGACACGAAUCCAGGUCCUACGGGGCGCAGCAGGCGCGAAAACUUUACACUGCGCGAAAGCGCGAUAAGGGGACCUCGAGUGCGUGCGCAAAGCGUACGCUUUUCAGAUGCCUAAAAAGCAUCUGGAAUAAGGGCCGGGCAAGACCGGUGCCAGCCGCCGCGGUAACACCGGCGGCUCAAGUGGUGGCCGCUAUUAUUGGGCUUAAAGGGUCCGUAGCCGGACCAGUUAGUCCCUUGGGAAAUCUUACGGCUUAACCGUAAGGCUGCCAAUGGAUACUGCUGGUCUUGGGACCGGGAGAGGCAAGAGGUACCUCAGGGGUAGGAGUGAAAUCCUGUAAUCCUUGAGGGACCGCCAGUGGC
rnacentral:rRNA from 1 species